rnacentral:rRNA from 1 species
UACGUAGGGGGCAAGCGUUGUCCGGAUUUAUUGGGCGUAAAGCGCGUGUAGGCGGCCAGAUAGGUCUGCUGUGAAAACUCGAGGCUCAACCUCGAGAGGUCGGUGGAAACCGUCUGGCUAGAGUCCGGAAGAGGAGAGUGGAAUUCCCGGUGUAGCGGUGAAAUGCGCAGAUAUCGGGAAGAACACCCGUGGCGAAGGCGGCUCUCUGGGACGGUACUGACGCUGAGACGCGAAAGCGUGGGGAGCGAACAGG